rnacentral:lncRNA from 1 species
CGUAGAUAAUGGACUAGGUCAUAAUUAGUACAUUUGAAGACCACACCAGGCUAAAAGUAGUUGCAUAUACCAGAGGGCAACUUUAGAAUAUAAAAUGGUCUUGACAAACUGAAUAAAUAACCAGACAGAGGAAAAAGAAGGAAAAGAGAGAAAGAAAAUGAAAAGAAGGAAAGAAGAGAUGGAGUACAGAAAAUUAUUCUUGUAGGGCUGUUUCUAUCACUGAAGAAAAAAAAAAACAUGAAGAGAGAUGUGAGGCAUAACUGAGAAUGAAGGACUGUAAGGGAGGAGUGGAAAAAGAAAAGGAUGGUUGGAAGUAAGGAAGAAUACGUAUCAAAGAGAAGAUUGCAAAAAGGAAAUGCAAGGAGAAGGAGAAAAAAUUCAAGGAAUGGAUAUCUGGGCAUGUUCAUCAACAGACUCCAUGUCAACAAUUGAUAUGAAGCUUCAAAUGGACCAGAAAACAGGAUACAGGAGGAAACAAGGUGACCUUAGCUGAAAGGCAGCAAGACACUUAUAUUAGCCAUCAUAUCAGAAACCUUAUGCAGAAUCAAACUGUGUAUCAGAGGCAAGAAAAACAUAGAGCUUCUGGUUAACAAAUAAGGAGGAAAGAAAUACAACAUUAACAAGAACUGGUAAAAAGCAACUUCAUUAGUUGCAAAAUUCUUCGAGAGAGGGAAAACUUUAAAACUGAAGACAAAUGAAAAGAACAAAGUUAGAGAGACUAGACUAUUUCAGGUGAACAAAAUAUUAUUAUACCAUAAACCUAAAUAUUAUUAUACCAUAUACUAAGAAAUUUCUCAUUUUCAUUAAUGACUG